UUACCUGAUGAACAUUUACUUUGCUUCGGCAAGUUGGAAUUACCGACUGAGGAUUUCCUUUGACGACAAAAAUGGCUGUUUCUGAUU
rfam:Valsa mali strain 03-8 chromosome 5, whole genome shotgun sequence.